rnacentral:rRNA from 1 species
CGGGAGACAGGUGGUGCAUGGUUGUCGUCAGCUCGUGUCGUGAGAUGUUGGGUUAAGUCCCGCAACGAGCGCAACCCCUACGUUUAGUUGCUAACGCGUGAAGGCGAGCACUCUAGACGAACUGCCGUUGACAAAACGGAGGAAGUGGGAUGACGUCAAAUCAUCAUGCCCCUUAUGUUCUGGGCUACACACGUGCUACAAUGGCCGGUACAGACGGACGCAAAGCCGCGAGGUGGAGCAAAUCCAAAAAGCCGGUCUCAGUUCGGAUUGCAGGCUGCAAUUCGCCUGCAUGAAGUCGGAAUCGCUAGUAAUCGCAGGUCAGCAUACUGCGGUGAAUACGUUCCCGGGCCUU